AGCAGCAGCCGCGGUAAUACGUAUGUCACAAGCGUUAUCCGGAUUUAUUGGGCGUAAAGCGCGUCUAGGCGGUUAAUUAAGUCUGAUGUGAAAAUGCGGAGCUCAACUCCGUAUUGCGUUGGAAACUGGUUAACUAGAGUACUGGAGAGGUAAGCGGAACUACAAGUGUAGAGGUGGAAUUCGUAGAUAUUUGUAGGAAUGCCGAUGGGGAAGCCAGCUUACUGGACAGAUACUGACGCUAAAGCGCGAAAGCGUGGGUAGCAAACAGGAUUAGAUACCCGUGUAGUCCCUGUCUCUUAUACA
rnacentral:rRNA from 1 species